AGCAGCCGCGGUAAUUCCAGCUCCAAUAGCGUAUAUUAAAGCUGUUGCAGUUAAAAAGCUCGUAGUUGAAUUUCGGGAUCGACGGGUCGGUCGCGCCUCCGGUGUGUACUGGCCCUGUCGGUUUCUCCCUUCUGACGAACCACGAUGUCAUUAAUUUGAUGACGUGGGAAAUCAGGACUGUUACUUUGAAAAAAUUAGAGUGUUUAAAGCAGGCAUUCGCUUGAAUACAUUAGCAUGGAAUAAUGAAAUAGGACGUUUGAUCUUAUUUUGUUGGUUUCUAAGAUCGACGUAAUGAUUAAUAGGGAUAGUUGGGGGCAUUAGUAUUCAAUUGUCAGAGGUGAAAUUCUUGGAUUUAUUGAAGACUAACUACUGCGAAAGCAUUUGCCAAGGAUGCUUUCAUUAAUCAAGAACGAAAGUUAGGGGAUCGAAGACGAUCAGAUACCGUCGUAG
rnacentral:rRNA from 1 species